GACGAACGCUGGCGGCGUGCUUAACACAUGCAAGUCGAACGGUAAGGCCCUUCGGGGGACACGAGUGGCGAACGGGUGAGUAACACGUGGGUGAUCUGACCUGCACUUCGGGAUCAGCCUGGGAAACCGGGGCUAAUACCGUAUAGGACUGCUGGCUUCAUGGUUGGGGGUGGCAAGCUUUUGCGGUGUGGGGUGGGCCUGCGGCCUAUCAGCUUGUUGGUGGGGUGAUGGCCUACCAAGGCGAUGGCGGGUAGCGGGCCUGAGAGGGUGACCGGUCACACUGGGACUGAGAUACGGCCCAGACUCCUACGUGAGGCAGAAGUGGGGAAUAUUGCAGAAUGGGCGCAAGCCUGAUGCAGCGACGCCGCGUGGGGGAUGACGGCCUUCGGGUUGUAAACCUCUUUCAGCUAUGACGAAGCGCAAGUGACGGUAGUAGCAGAAGAAGGACCGGCCAACUACGUGCCAGCCGCCGCGGUAA
rnacentral:rRNA from 1 species